rnacentral:lncRNA from 1 species
UUUUGAAGAAGUUAAAUUUAUUUUGAUAGGAUAACUUAAAAAAAAAAAAGUUUUAGGUGGAGAACUCCUUUAUGUUUCUCCUAAGGCUAGAUGUCCCUGAAUAAAGAAAGAAGUGUGUGUGGGGCAGUGGGCUGGGGGACAGGAUAAGUUUGGGAGGAAAGGGAGGCUGCAUAAAUUUCUUGUCCAGAAUCCCUUCCUGUCCCCACCCACUGAGGACAAUGUGAAGAGAGAGGGAGGUACAAAGAGGGAUACAUGGAAAGUGAUGCAGCAGCAACCAUGGAUUUAGAGAUCAACCAGGUAAGGCUUUUGCAUGUCAGGAACCAUCAUCUGUAUAGCGCAGCAUGCUGCUGAGAAAAUUAAAUGAAAUAAUGAUGUAGCAGUGCUCUAUACAUUCCUUCUCUUCUGUAUAGGAAGUUGAGAUUAUAAGAUAUGCCUAUCCCAGUGGACCAUGAUCUUGGAUGCUGAAUGUAGUACUGUAGCUGAACAGCAAUGCUAUCUUUGAUGCUACUUACAAAAAUAUUUUUUUUAAUUGGAAAAAUAGUACUUCAGUGAAUGAGACCUCCAGAGGUUAAUUCAUUGCAGUGUUAUUCUCAUUUUAAAAUUCUGCUAUCUGCCCUAAAUUUCUAACUGUUCUGUGUAAGGGGGAGUGGCUGUGAGAAGGGCAUAUGUCUUGAGGAGAGGACUAGGAGGGAUAACA